UACGGAGGGGCUAGCGUUGUUCGGAAUUACUGGGCGUAAAGCGCACGUAGGCGGCUUUGUAAGUUAGAGGUGAAAGCCCGGAGCCUCAACUCCGGAAUUGCCUUUAAGACUGCAUCGCUAGAAUCAUGGGAGAGGUUAGUGGAAUUCCUGGUGUAGCGGUGAAAUUCGUAGAUAUUCGGAAGAACACCAGUGGCGAAGGCGACUUACUGGACACAUAUUGACGCU
rnacentral:rRNA from 1 species